AGAAACGUUUGUGAGUUAUCCAGAUAAUUUUAAUAAAAUAUUUUAAAGUCAUGUAAUUGACCGAAAUAUAGAUUCCAGGCGCUACUGGUCCUGAAGUACCAGAAGGCGCGUUCGGUGUAAUCUCUAGUAUUUCGAUACUCCUGGUUCUUUCUUGACAGUAAGGAUAAACAAUGUGCAGUCACAGUAAGUCACAUAUUCCCAAAAUAUCUGGGGGGGCUAUUACGGUUUCUGAAACGAGGUGAAAAUUACAAAAAACCGUGAUAGCCCCCCUGAGAAGGUGCAAUUGGUGUUGCAAAAGCGAAUUGGUAUUUAAUCAACGAGAUUCAGAGACGGAAGCACAAGCCCAGGAUGAUCCUUCCCGAGAAAGCAGUCUCCGUACUUUGUCUGGAACCAAGAUUCAUAACUCCAGCGAUUAGAACCUGUUCGGAUGCACUCAAAUGCAAAGUUUGUCGUGCCAUGAGAUAUUUUCCUCCUGAACAAUGCAGUAUGGUCAAUGUUAAAGUGAUCGGGUGUUUACUGUUUGUAUGUGAUGGCGACACACUAUAGUUAUACCGGUGAUUCAAGAACAGAUUGGAAUAUUCCAUCUGCGACUUGCUCUCAAUGUUUAAGGUUGGUAGGCGUUGUUGCAGCAUAUCCAGGUCAUUUUGUUGCUUAUUGUAGACGACUUUCAGGACUAUGGGAGCAAUACAAUGAUCUAAAUACUACAGUAAAAUCUUGUUCACAUAAUGAGACAAUUAGUCCUAUUGCUGCAGUUUAUAUCAUAUAUGAAGAUAAUUAAAUAUGAUUGCAUCGUUCGAUGUAGACUGUCAUAAUCAUUUAAAUUUGACAUAUUCGUCUAUAAGACCACCACGACGCGGAAAAAACAAGAUCUAACGAUUGAAAGUGAUAGAGGCACAGUUGUCGAGAGCAAUCAUGUCACUCCAGAACCGAGUAAUGUAGCGGCAAAUCAUCAUCGUCAUCAGCUCAGAAUCAAAACAAAACACCAACAUGAUUCAAACAGGCAUUCAAAUAAUCAAUUACUUAACACCACCAAAAGGCGUAAUUCCUUAAUUUUUAAUACAAAUAGUAUGCUAUACGGGAUUCCUAUGAAGAUGUAUGUAUACGCGAGUACGAACGUAUUAUUUCAUCCAAGUUAAAUAUGUGGAAUGCAAGUUUAAAUUCUCGUCCCUUUUUGCAGACAAAACUCAGAUCCAUGCAUCGUCUUUUCAUUGUUAGAGCCAAUUUGUAUUUUACAGCACGUAUACAUACAUGAUGUCAUACGUAUUCCUCUAAUGAGUCUUAAUAUAUAAUCUGUACACAACAAA